rnacentral:lncRNA from 1 species
UUAACUGCUUGAUUGAUAACUUAUUCGUGUAUUUUUAUUAAGAGUGCACACUUAGUUUGCAUGCAUGAAUAUGAUGCUAGAGUAUAAGGGAGUUUCACCUAAUAGUUACAAAUUUAUAUUCACAAGUAGUGGAGGUUGCUUAUAGAAGAUCGCGUUAAAUGAAUUCUUGGCAAGAGUUUCGUGCUCAUCAUAGUAACGAAUGCCUCGUCAAUACUUAUAGUUUUCAUAAUGCUUAAUGAUCUUUGAUUGUAUCUUUAUUGUGCUGUUCACGAAAAGGACUUUUGAAAAAUGCUUGAAUUGUUGUAUGCGCUUUCCCAUCCAAUUCAAUAACUUAAGGAGAACUUGAAGGUUAAUUUAAGCGGACUUAAUUAACCUAGGGUGUUGAGUUUCAUGAUUUAUCGAAAGAACAACUGAAAAUUGGUUUAUGUGCAAGUGUGUCAUGUGUGGAGAAGAACCCUCUAGCUAGCCCAUCAUCCAUAGUUUACCCAAAUUCGCCCAAAAACUGUUUUAGUUUACAAUCUGUUUGUUUUGUUUUCAAUUUCAUCAAAAUCAAAUCCCCCUUUACACUAGUGUGAAAAUAUAAACAUUAUAUCCAAUCAUAUAUGUAUACGGUAUUAGAGACAUUUCACUGAUGUUAAUUUCUGUAUUUCAACUACGCAUGUUUUGUAUUCUUCCUUUUUUUUUUUUUGGACAACGUUUGUAUUCUUCACAGAACCGUCAUUUUUCCUAAAAUAUUUUCUCUUGACGUGACAGAGCUUGUGUUUCAUUCCUUUUGUUAAUUUUUCAUUUGUGACGAUAUGUGGGAUGAACGCAGAAGAUGAGCUUUGCUUUUUAUUACAUGUAAAAAGGGGAUGUUGUUUAGGGUGGCCAUAUUACAUAGAUAUUUCCUAAGAAGGACAAGAAGUCAAAACCUAGAAAAGUUGGAUAUGUAGGUCGAACAUGUAUGAUAAGAGUAUUAAUGUAUAAAAAAGUGAUAGAUGCUCUCACAGAUCCUGAUCAGCCACUCCACCAUUUGGCUUGGAAACAAAAUUAAUAAGCAGUGCUUUUCUAUUAAGCCAUCAGCAGAAAAUUAAGGUCAUAGUGGAAACCAACUCAAAUCCCACCUUUGCCUAUUUUCCCUGCUUUCUCUGUUCAUCGCCACUUCCUCAUGUCCAUUUUGUGUGGUUAGCGUGGACUAUGAAACUCCGAGCCUUAUAAUAAUGAAAAGGUAAACGACUUGGAAGUUGGUAAUUUGCAUGGGGCCACCUCCACUUUAUAUAGGCGCACCUGCAUCCAGUAGCAAACUUGCUACUCUCAAUUGAGUGGAAUAAGAAGUGCUUAAUUUGGUGAGGCUGCACAUACGUGAGCGAAUUAUAACUGUCAAUUGAGUGUAAUAAGAAGUGCUUGAUUUGGUGAGGUCGCGGAUACCCGAGUGAAUUAUAACUGUUGAUGCAAUUGAAAGUAACAAGUUAUUACUUAUCAAUAGUCAAACUGAACCUGUAUGCACAGGGAAACUGAUGCUAAUAAAAACUGUACUCAAUCAUAAAGUUGGAGCUUAUGAGAAAUAUGUUGUUAUGUAUUCUUCU